AGUGAACGCUGGCGGUAGGCCUAACACAUGCCAGUCGAACGGCAGCACAGUAAGAGCUUGCUCUUACGGGUGGCGAGUGGCGGACGGGUGAGGAAUACAUCGGAAUCUACUUUUUCGUGGGGGAUAACGUAGGGAAACUUACGCUAAUACCGCAUACGACCUACGGGUGAAAGCAGGGGAUCUUCGGACCUUGCGCGAUUGAAUGAGCCGAUGUCGGAUUAGCUAGUUGGCGGGGUAAAGGCCCACCAAGGCGACGAUCCGUAGCUGGUCUGAGAGGAUGAUCAGCCACACUGGAACUGAGACACGGUCCAGACUCCUACGGGAGGCAGCAGUGGGGAAUAUUGGACAAUGGGCGCAAGCCUGAUCCGGCCAUACCGCGUGGGUGAAGAAGGCCUUCGGGUUGUAAAGCCCUUUUGUUGGGAAAGAAAAGCAGCAGGUUAAUACCCCGCUGUUCUGACGGUACCCAAAGAAUGAGCACCGGCUAACUUCGUG
rnacentral:rRNA from 1 species